GGAGGCAUGGCUCAAGUGAUAGAGCAUUUGUCUAGCAAACAAAAGACACUGAGUUCAAACCCCAAUCCCACAA
rnacentral:tRNA from 1 species